CUCUUUGCUCUUGCAGUUUUCAUUCUACUUCAUCACCAUAUUUCAAUGGCUAUUUCUUCCAAUAUUAGCAUUGAUGAAGCUGCUCUUCUUGCCUUUAAAUCUUACAUUUCUUCUGAUCGUAACAAUAUCUUGGAAACCAACUGGUCUUCUUUCGGCCUUGUUUGCAGCUGGAUUGGCAUCACUUGUAGCUCUCGCCACAAUCGAGUCACAGCUAUAGUCAUUUCUAGCAUGCAAAUUCACGGUACCAUCCCUCCACAUCUGGAAACCUCUCAUUUCUUGUUUCCCUUGACAUUAGUAACAACACUUUCCACGGAGAGUUGCCGGAAGAGUUGGCUCAUUUGCAGAGAUUGAAAAUGAUUAAUGUCACUUGGAACAACUUUACUGGUGCAGUUCCAUCAUUUUUAAGUUUGUUACCUAAUCUUCGCAUUUUGCGCCUUUCCUUGAAAGAGUUCUCCCGAAAAAUCCGAUCUUCCUUUUCCAACCUGACAAAGCUGGAAGUGUUGAGAAUAAGGGGAAAUUUUCUAGAGGGAGAGAUCCCCCAAUAACUCGGUGAUCUUCCUCUGACUUUGUUAGACCUGCAAAAUAACCAGCUUACUGGUUCCAUACCACCAUCAAUCUUUAACAUUAGCACAAUGCAACAAAUGGCUCUUACCUACAAUAAUCUUACUGGAGAGAUACCAGCGGAACUAGGAAAUCUUAAAACACUAGAGGUGCUGACAUUAUCUGACAAUGAGUUAACUGGUUCCAUUCCAGCAAGCAUUUUCAACAUGUCAGCAUUGUAGGUCCUAGGACUUGAAGGAAACAGGCUUCAGGUACUCUACCUUCAGAUUUAGGUCGUCGAGUGCCUAGCCGCCUAGAAAAACUUUAUUGUUCAAAUAACCAGAGUGGUUUUAUCUCUGAUACUAUCUCAAAUUCUUCAAGACUCAGAAUCCUUAGUCUCUCAAAGAACAACUUCACCGGACCAAUUCCUUAAUUACUUGGUAACUUAGAAUACCUUGAGCUUUUGAACUUGCAGGGGAACAAUUUUUUUUGGCUAUUCAGUAUUGAGGUUCCUUACAUCUUUGACAAAAUGUAGGAAACUAUAAGAACUCGCUUUUUCGAGGAAUCGGUUAGAUGGUGUUCUUCCUGCAUCAAUUGGAAAUUUCUCUGACUCUCUGAAAAUAUUUAGUGGAGAGAGUUUUAAACUGAAGGGGAUUCUUCCUGAAGAAAUUGGUAAUCUGACUGGAGUGACAAAGAUGAGUCUAUUAAAACGUGAGUUGACUGGAUAUAUUCCAAAUACUGUCCAAGGCAUGCUGAACCUUCAAGAAAUUUACCUAGAUAGCAACAAGUUAAAAGGAACCAUUGCAGAGGUUAUCUGCAAUUUAAAGAAUCUCGGAGCAUUAGACUUGUCAGAGAAUCAGUUUUCUGGCUCAGUGCCACUAUGCUUAGGGAAUGUAACCAGUUUAAGGAUACUUAAUCUAGCUUACAACAGGCUGAAUUGGAGCUUGCCUGCAAGCUUAGGGAGCCUUCAAGAUCUCAUACAAUUCAAUGUUUCAUCCAAUUUUCUAAGUGGGGCAAAUUUCUCCGGAGAUUGGAAAUUUUACGGCUGCUAUACUCGUUGAUCUAUCAAGAAAUAAUUUUACUGGUAAGAUCCCUAGCACUUCAGGGGGUCAAGAUAAAUUGAUUGAUCUUUCUCUAGCACAUAAUAGAUUAGAUGGGCCUAUUCCAGAUUCAUUGGACAAAAUGAUAGCUUGGGAAUUAUUGGAUGUGGGCUAUAACAAUCUUAGUGGUGAAAUACCAAAAUCAUUAGAUGCUCAUGUAUCUCAAAUACUUGAACAUCUCAUUUAAUAAACUCAGUGGAGAAAUUCCCACCGGUGGUCCUUUUGCAAACUUCACCACCCAAUCCUUCCUGUCCAAUGGUGCACUCUGUGGUGACUCCAGGUUUAAUGUGAAGCCAUGCCUAACCAAAUCUACAGAGAAGUCAAGAAGAAGAAGAAAGCUUGUAGCUUUAUGUACUCUUUUGGGGAUUGGAUUACUACUUGCAUUGGCUGUUGGAUAUGUUGUGUUAAGAAUGCGAAAGAUACAGAAGAAAGCAGGUCAAGCAGUUUUGUCUCCAGUAAAAGGGCAUGAAAGAAUUUCCUCCUAUGAACUUGAACAAGCAACCAAAGGAUUCAAUGAAAGUAACUUGCUUGGUAUGGUGGGUUUCGGCAUGGUCUAUAAAGGGAUACUUAAGGAUGGUACUUUUUUGGCAGCAAAGGUAUUCAAUGUGCAAUUGGAGGGUGCAUUCAAAAGUUUUGAUACAAAAUGUGAGAUGUUGCGCAACCUCUGCCAUCAAAAUCUUAGGGAAGUCAUCACCAGCUGCUCCAACCCUGACUUUAAAGCCUUGGUAUUAGAAUAUAUGCCGAAUGGGACUCUCGAAAAAUGGCUAUAAGUCAUAACUUUUUCUUAGAUAUGUUGCAAAGAUUAAAAUAAUGAUAGAUGUUGCAUCUGCAAUGUAUAAUCCCCACAAUGGUUAUUCAACACCUGUGGUGCAUUGUGAUUUGAAGCCAAGCAAUGUCUUGCUAGAUCAAGAAAUGGUUGGCCAUGUCAGUGAUUUUGGCAUUGCAAAAUUGCUAGGUGCAGGGGAUACUUUCGUUCAAACAAGGACAAUUGCAACCAUUGGAUAUAUUGCUUUAGUGUAUGGACAAGAUGGAAUAGUAUCCACAAGCUGCAAUGUUUAUAGCUUUGGCAUCUUGAUGAUGGAGACGUUUACAAGAAGGAGACCAAGUGAUGAAAUAUUUGCCGAAGAUUUGAGCAUACGACGUUGGGUUAGUGAUUCUUUUCCAAGUGGAUUCAUAAGUUGGUGGAUGCUAAUUUGGCACAGCCAGGCGAUGAACAAACCGACCCAAAGAUGCAAUGUUUGUCAUCUGUCAUGGAAUUAGCUUUUGAGUUGCACUGCAGUGACACCUGAUGCAAGAAUUAGCAUGGAAGAUGCUCUUUCUGCACUUGGAAAGAUUAGGCUUCUGUUUGUCAAUAACUGUACAAGUACAUGCUGACGGUAAUAACUCAUUUAUUGACUUCAAUUGUUUUGACGAUACUUAAGAUGGGCGAGAGAAGAGAGGAAAGUAAUGUGAAUAAUAACAGUAUGUUGUCAAUAACAAUCAAGAUUAUGCCAUGAUGACUGUAAGUAAUAAUCACACUACAUCCGCGACGAAACUA